GACGAACGCUGGCGGCGUGCUUAACACAUGCAAGUCGAACGGAAAGGCCCUGCUUUUGUGGGGUGCUCGAGUGGCGAACGGGUGAGUAACACGUGAGUAACCUGCCCUUGACUUUGGGAUAACUUCAGGAAACUGGGGCUAAUACCGGAUAGGAGCUCCUGCUGCAUGGUGGGGGUUGGAAAGUUUCGGCGGUUGGGGAUGGACUCGCGGCUUAUCAGCUUGUUGGUGGGGUAGUGGCUUACCAAGGCUUUGACGGGUAGCCGGCCUGGGAGGGUGACCGGCCACAUUGCGCCUGCGAUACGGCCCAGACUCCUACGGGAGGCAGCGGGGGGAAAUAUUGCACAAUGGGCGGAAGCCUGAUGCAGCGGCGCCGCGUGCGGGAUGACGGCCUUCGGGUUGUAAACCGCUUUCGCCUGUGACGAAGCGUGAGUGACGGUAAUGAGUAAAGAAGCACCGGCUAACUACGUG
rnacentral:rRNA from 1 species